rnacentral:rRNA from 1 species
CUCGGGUGACGAGUGGCGGACGGGUGAGUAAUGUCUGGGAAACUGCCUGAUGGAGGGGGAUAACUACUGGAAACGGUAGCUAAUACCGCAUAACGUCGCAAGACCAAAGAGGGGGACCUUCGGGCCUCUUGCCAUCAGAUGUGCCCAGAUGGGAUUAGCUAGUAGGCGGGGUAACGGCCCACCUAGGCGACGAUCCCUAGCUGGUCUGAGAGGAUGACCAGCCACACUGGAACUGAGACACGGUCCAGACUCCUACGGGAGGCAGCAGUGGGGAAUAUUGCACAAUGGGCGCAAGCCUGAUGCAGCCAUGCCGCGUGUGUGAAGAAGGCCUUCGGGUUGUAAAGCACUUUCAGCGGGGAGGAAGGCAGUGCGGUUAAUAACCGUGCUGAUUGACGUUACCCGCAGAAGAAGCACCGGCUAACUCCGUGCCAGCAGCCGCGGUAAUACGGAGGGUGCAAGCGUUAAUCGGAAUUACUGGGCGUAAAGCGCACGCAGGCGGUCUGUCAAGUCGGAUGUGAAAUCCCCGGGCUCAACCUGGGAACUGCAUUCGAAACUGGCAGGCUGGAGUCUCGUAGAGGGAGGUAGAAUUCCAGGUGUAG